CUACCCGAUCCGUACCGGAAACCCGAUCGGUACCACGCAUGCGCGAAUGUUACGUCACUUCCUCUCUUUGCCAACUUUGCGACAGUUACCGACUGCGGGACGUUUAAACAAUGAAUACCUCCGAAACCAACGAAAUUCAUGAUUUUUUCUCCUCAACGGAGAUCUUCCGACGAUUGAACAAAAGCGCCGUAAAAUAAGAAGAGUGGCGCCUAAUUACAGACUUAAAGACAACAGACUCUUCUACACUGGCCCCAGUAUGCAGAGCAUGCGCCUGCUAGUCAUGUCAGAGGAGGAGAAGAAGCCUGUUUUGAUGGAGUGCCACAAUAACCCUGGUACCGGGAACCACAAUGGUGUCAGAGGUACCCGAAACAUGGUUGUUGCUGGCUUUUACUGUCAACAUUGAACCAGGACAUCAGUGAAUGGGGUUUCCUAGACAUAUUGUUUGGAAUACGCCUUUCAGGUCAGAUGUUGUCAUCGCUGCCAGAUGAAUGACCCAAUCAAGACCGUGGCACCAACAUUACAUCCCAUCAAGGUACAUCUUAAAGCUAUUUACAUUUAAUUUUCAAGUUAAUAAGCUUGUCUGCUGCAGGUUAGCUUUAAAUUUUCACUUGAUAAGUUCUGUGACCUGCAGGUAAGAGAACCUUGGGAGUUGCUGGGCAUGGAUUUAAUUGGACCACUCCCAGAAACACGUCUAGGGAACCGAUAUGUCCUGACUAUGACCGUUCUGGGUGAUUGCAGAACCUCUUAAGUCCAAGACUGCUGCUGAGGUCUCUGCAGUCAUGACGUCUAAGUUAUACAUGUUUGGCAUGGUGAGGAAGAUCAUCACUGACCAAGGAAAGGAGUUUGUGAACCAGGUAAAAUUUGUGAAAGUGUUAGUCGUACCUUGACAUUUGAGAUGAUGUAUUUAGACCAAGUCUGCUCAUGCCACUGCAGCUCAACGACAGCAUUUUCAGCAUGCUGAAUAUUAAACAUGCUGUCUCCAGUGCUUACCACCCCCAGACCAACAGGCAGGUUAGCAUUUGGAUAUCUAACCUUGAGUAACUCAUGGGAAAUCAGUCAUGCUUCUUUAUCUAUUCUGCAAUACAA